UGGGGAAUAUUGCGCAAUGGGGGGAACCCUGACGCAGCCAUGCCGCGUGAAUGAAGAAGGCCUUCGGGUUGUAAAGUUCUUUCGGUAUUGAGGAAGGUUGAUGUGUUAAUAGCACAUCAAAUUGACGUUAAAUACAGAAGAAGCACCGGCUAACUCCGUGCCAGCAGCCGCGGUAAUACGGAGGGUGCGAGCGUUAAUCGGAAUAACUGGGCGUAAAGGGCACGCAGGCGGUUAUUUAAGUGAGGUGUGAAAGCCCCGGGCUUAACCUGGGAAUUGCAUUUCAGACUGGGUAACUAGAGUACUUUAGGGAGGGGUAGAAUUCCACGUGUAGCGGUGAAAUGCGUAGAGAUCUGGAGGAAUACCGAUGGCGAAGGCAGCUCCCUGGCAUCAUACUGACACUGAGGUGCGAAAGCGUGGGUAGCAAACAGGAUUAGAUACCCUGGUAGUCCACGCCGUAAACGAUGUCUACCAGUCGUUGGGUCUUUUAAAGACUUAGUGACGCAGUUAACGCAAUAAGUAGACCGCCUGGGGAGUACGGCCGCAAGGUUA
rnacentral:rRNA from 1 species